rnacentral:rRNA from 1 species
CGCCCGCCGCGCCCCGCGCCCGUCCCGCCGCCCCCGCCCGAACGCGAAGAACCUUACCUACUCUUGACAUCCUGCGAGCUUGGUAGAGAUACCUUGGUGCCUUCGGGAACGCAGUGACAGGUGCUGCAUGGCUGUCGUCAGCUCGUGUUGUGAAAUGUUGGGUUAAGUCCCGUAACGAGCGCAACCCCUAUCCUUAUUUGCCAGCACUUCGGGUGGGAACUCUAAGGAGACUGCCGGUGACAAACCGGAGGAAGGUGGGGAUGACGUCAAGUCAUCAUGGCCCUUACGAGUAGGGCUACACACGUGCUACAAUGGCCGGUACAGAGGGCCGCGAACUUGCGAGGGUAAGCUAAUCUCAGAAAACCGGUCGUAGUCCGGAUCGCAGUCUGCAACUCGACUGCGUGAAGUCGGAAUCGCUAGUAAUCGCGAAU